GAUGAACGCUGGCGGCGUGCCUAACACAUGCAAGUCGAGCGAUCUUCUUCGGAAGAGAGCGGCGGACGGGUGAGUAACGCGUGGGUAACCUGCCCUGUACACACGGAUAACAUACCGAAAGGUAUGCUAAUACGGGAUAACAUACUUUUAUCGCAUGGUAGAAGUAUCAAAGCUCCGGCGGUACAGGAUGGACCCGCGUCUGAUUAGCUAGUUGGUAAGGUAACGGCUUACCAAGGCGACGAUCAGUAGCCGACCUGAGAGGGUGAUCGGCCACAUUGGAACUGAGACACGGUCCAAACUCCUACGGGAGGCAGCAGGAGGAAAUAUUGCACAAUGGGCGAAAGACUGAUGCAGCAACGCCGCGUGAGCGAUGAAGGCCUUCGGGUCGUAAAGCUCUGUCCUCAAGGAAGAUAAUGACGGUACUUGAGGAGGAAGCCCCGGCUAACUACGUGCCAGCCGCCGCAGUAACAC
rnacentral:rRNA from 1 species